GCCGAGGGGCCGCCCGCCCGAGCGCCCCUCCCAGGCCGGGGAGCCCACCUCCGACCCGCGCCUUACUUGGUCCUACGGCCGGAGCCGGUCUCUCCGCUCGGCGCCGCGGGGCCGAGCGCAGGAAGCUCCGCGGAGUGCGCUACGCCACCAGGGACGCGCCAGUCCAGCCUCUGUGGUUGAAAGCGAGCUAAGGCAGCGGGAGACGGGCGCACGGGCAACUCCAGGAGCAGCUGGAGGAGGAUCGGUGGCGCGGACUCUGCAGGUCGCUGUUGAGGUUGUGCAAGGGGGAGCCCCGCCCGGGUGCCCACCUAGGACUUUACGUUGUCGCGCGGACAGCGGCGCUUCGCAGGGACCAGCGAGCACCACCCCUUCCCCGGCGCCACAGGAGCGGGCUUCCGGCACCACCCUGGGCUACGAGGGACUUAAUCCCGGAGGGGCAGUUGUCACCUCCCCUCCCCCCCCCCUGCCGCGGCCCCGCGGCCUCCACCCCCCGCGAAUCCCCCGACAAUCCCCACCCCUACUCGCCCCCUCCGAGGACAGGAGCAGUGCCCCGCGGGGGAAAGGAGUGAAAUAGGUUAGCAGGUUUGCAGAUUCCUGUUCAGAGCUCCCGGAACUCUUUGGAGGAGGGAGCAAGAUUCAGGACCCAGCAGGCAGGCACCUAAGGGGGGAAAGUCCCUGUCCCCCCCCCCCUCCAGCUGGGAGCUGCCGCUUUACCACCUCCAUCGCCCUUUCCUCAGCCCCUGCCCUUGCCCUUUCUCCUCCUCGCUGUGGAUGGGCCCGCUGCACGUGGAGGGAAAAGGACGCGCGGCAGAAGUUACCACCCCCUCCCCCCAAACACACCACCACCACCAACACGUUUCUGGGUCGGAGAAGUCUCUCUGUUGGGGGCAGUGCUGAUCUCUGGACAUGAGACUAUGAGCUGUCCGUUACAUGAGGACCACUGUAAGCAAGAGGCCGCAUGGUGGUUCUCCAGCUGCCGGUCCCAGAUCCCUCACCAUCUCAGACCAGGAACCAGGGAGUUUACAGGAACAUUGUGACCUGACCUACAUGGACAGCUGUGAGAACAAAGGAUUCUGACACCAAGAAGUUUGCAACAACUAACCAUGCCCUUCCCUCACCUUGCCUUUAAAAAUGCUUUGCUAAAACCCUUCAGAGAGUUUGGGGAUUUCUGGGCACAAGCCACCCACCUUGCAUGGCCCUGCAAUAAACCUUUCUCUGCUCCAAACUCCAACAUUUCGGUUUGUUUGCCCUCACUGUGUGUUGGGCACACAAAUUUGCAUUCGGUAACAAAAGGGGUAGGAAACAGGUAGCAGGCUUGGUGGGUAGUGGAAA